CGCCGGCUCGCGGGUCUCCUCAGCGGCGCCCAGGUGGCGCCGGCGACCUUAACCCCUGCGCUGCCUCAAGCCCGGGGGCGGCUGCGCGCGCCGCCUGGGGAGGCGGCUGGCGCAUCCCUAAUGGUUCGGGCGGCUCCCCGGCGCGGCCACGCCCCCGGCCUCGCGCCCGCAUCGGAUGUGGCCCCGCCCACAGCACGCUCACCUCGGGUGUGGCCUCGCGCUCACCUCGGAGCACAGCCCCGCCCCUGGCCUCGUUCUCACCUCGGUGCGAGGCCCCGCCUCCGGGCUCGCGCCACUCUUGGGCUGGAGCGUUUCUCAGAGUCUGGUGGGGAUCAGUUUUGUCGAACCUCAGGUGGUCUUCAAGAGGACUGGGGAUGUUCUUCCAAGGCCGAGUCCCGACAGAGACUCGUGGUCACGGAAUUUAGGUCUGGGCCCUCACCAAAGCUAAGCAGUCAGGAGAGGGAGCCCUAGCGAGCAGGAGGGGGAGGAAUGACUUCAGAAAUCCGGCAUUUUAAUGAUGAUGACUCAGGGAUAUGAAGGACCAGAGGCCUCCGAGAUCAACAACCCCGAAAGAAAGAGUUAUGUUGAGAAAUAACGGGAAAAAAAAACUGCUCACAGAUGGGAAUAUGAAGCAAAGAAUCGCCGUGAUAAUGACUUUUAUUAGUGAGACGGAAAUUUCAGGACACCAAGAGGCUGAAAUGGGUCAAAUGGAUUCUCCUGGUUUUUAUUCUUUAUUAACUUCAGAGCUCAUCAAUAUUCAGAGAGAGAGAGAGUACAAGCCAGGGAGGGACAGAGAGAGAAGGAGACACAGAAUCUGUCUGUC